UACACUCCUGCGGGAGGCAGCAGUGGGGAAUAUUGCACAAUGGGCGCAAGCCUGAUGCAGCCAUGCCGCGUGUAUGAAGAAGGCCUUCGGGUUGUAAAGUACUUUCAGCGGGGAGGAAGGCGAUAAGGUUAAUAACCUUGUCGAUUGACGUUACCCGCAGAAGAAGCACCGGCUAACUCCGUGCCAGCAGCCGCGGUAAUACGGAGGGUGCAAGCGUUAAUCGGAAUUACUGGGCGUAAAGCGCACGCAGGCGGUCUGUCAAGUCGGAUGUGAAAUCCCCGGGCUCAACCUGGGAACUGCAUUCGAAACUGGCAGGCUAGAGUCUUGUAGAGGGGGGUAGAAUUCCAGGUGUAGCGGUGAAAUGCGUAGAGAUCUGGAGGAAUACCGGUGGCGAAGGCGGCCCCCUGGACAAAGACUGACGCUCAGGUGCGAAAGCGUGGGGAGCAAACAGGAUUAGAAACCCCGGUAGUCCCAUGA
rnacentral:rRNA from 1 species